AUACGGAGGACGCGAGCGUUAUCCGGAUUCAUUGGGUUUAAAGGGUGCGCAGGCGGCCGUGCAAGUCAGCGGUGAAAGCCCGGGGCUCAACCCCGGAAGUGCCGUUGAUACUGCAUGGCUGGAAUGCGGUCGAGGCGGGCGGAACGUGGCGGGUAGCGGGGGAAUGCGUAGUUAAGCCACAGAACGCCGAUAGCGGAGGCAGCUCGCCAGGCCUGCAUUGACGCUCGGGCACGAAAGCGUGGGGAUCGAACAGGAUUAGAUACCCUGGUAGUCCACGCCGUAAACGAUGGGCGCUCGUCGUCGGCGGCAGACAGUCGGCGGCCAAGCGAAAGCGAUAAGCGCCCCACCUGGGGAGUACGGUCGCAAGGUUGAAACUCAAAGGAAUUGACGGGG
rnacentral:rRNA from 1 species